UCUGACGGAGCACGCCGCGUGAACGAUGAAGGCUUUCGGGUCGUAAAGUUCUGUUGUCAGGGAAGAACAAGUACCGGAGUAACUGCCGGUACCUUGACGGUACCUGACCAGAAAGCCACGGCUAACUACGUGCCAGCAGCCGCGGUAAUACGUAGGUGGCAAGCGUUGUCCGGAAUUAUUGGGCGUAAAGCGCGCGCAGGCGGUUCCUUAAGUCUGAUGUGAAAGCCCCCGGCUCAACCGGGGAGGGUCAUUGGAAACUGGGGAACUUGAGUGCAGAAGAGGAGAGCGGAAUUCCACGUGUAGCGGUGAAAUGCGUAGAGAUGUGGAGGAACACCAGUGGCGAAGGCGGCUCUCUGGUCUGUAACUGACGCUGAGGCGCGAAAGCGUGGGGAGCGAACAGGAUUAGAUACCCUGGUAGUCCACGCCGUAAACGAUGAGUGCUAAGUGUUAGAGGGUUUCCGCCCUUUAGUGCUGCAGCAAACGCAUUAAGCACUCCGCCUGGGGAGUACGGCCGCAAGGCUGAAACUCG
rnacentral:rRNA from 1 species